CCUACGUGGUGCUGCAGUGUGGAAUAUUGGGCAAUGGGCGCAAGCCUGACCCAGCAACGCCGCGUGAAGGAAGAAGGCUUUCGGGUUGUAAACUUCUUUUCUCAGGGACGAAGCAAGUGACGGUACCUGAGGAAUAAGCCACGGCUAACUACGGGCCAGCAGCCGCGGUAAUACGUAGGUGGCAAGCGUUAUACGGAUUUACUGGGGGUAAAGGGCGUGUAGGCGGGACUGCAAGUCAGAGGUGAAAACCACGGGCUCAACCUGUGGCCUGCAUUUGAAACUGUAGUUCUUGAGUACUGGAGAGGCAGACGGAAUUCCUAGUGUAGCGGUGAAAUGCGUAGAUAUUAGGAGGAACACCAGUGGCGAAGGCGGUCUGCUGGACAGCAACUGACGCUGAGGCGCGAAAGCGUGGGGAGCAAACAGGAUUAGAUACCCCAGUAGUC
rnacentral:rRNA from 1 species